rnacentral:rRNA from 1 species
CGAUGCCACCAGCGAUCCGCCUGAGUUCCUUAAAUGACUCGGCGGGCAGCUUCCGGGAAACCAAAGUUUUUCGGUUCCGGGGGAAGUAUGGUUGCAAAGCUGAAACUUAAAGGAAUUGACGGAAGGGCACCACCAGGAGUGGAGCCUGCGGCUUAAUUUGACUCAACACGGGAAAACUUACCCGGCCCGGACACUGGCAGGAUUGACAGAUUGAGAGCUCUUUCUUGAUUCAGUGGGUGGUGGUGCAUGGCCGUUCUUAGUUGGUGGAGCGAUUUGUCUGGUUAAUUCCGAUAACGAACGAGACUCUAGCCUACUAAAUAGGCCACCGGCUUACUGACGUCGGUGGCAGUUCCUAAAAGGACCGGGGGCCAAUCCACCCCACCAAACAAAACAAUAACAAGGCCGGGAAGGCUUUAAAAGGCCGGGGCCCCCCGCCCC